CCGUGCUAGGCGGGGCGCUAGCGGUGCCCUGUACCCGCAAACCGCUCUAGCGGGGCUGAAUCCCCUCCCGAGGGGCCAGGCCCGGGGUCGACGCCCCGUCCGUGGUGUGUCGAUGGUUCGGUCCCGCGACGAUGGAGACCCGUGAACCAGGUCAGGUCCGGAAGGAAGCAGCCUUAAGCGGCCACCUUCAGGCGUUGUGGGAUCACCGGACCGGAGCCCAUAGGCGGCGGCUGCGCCCCGACACCGGCAUCGACGGAGGGUGCACGG
rnacentral:SRP_RNA from 1 species